GCUCAGGAUGAACGCUAGCUACAGGCUUAACACAUGCAAGUCGAGGGGUAGCAGGGUAGCAAUACCGCUGACGACCGGCGCACGGGUGAGUAACACGUAUCCAACCUUCCCAUAACUCGGGGAUAGCCUUUCGAAAGAAAGAUUAAUACCCGAUAGUACUUUAUUAAGGCAUCUUAAGAAAGUUAAAGACUUAUUGGUUAUGGAUGGGGAUGCGUUCCAUUAGAUAGUUGGUGAGGUAACGGCUCACCAAGUCUUCGAUGGAUAGGGGUUCUGAGAGGAAGGUCCCCCACAUUGGUACUGAGACACGGACCAAACUCCUACGGGAGGCAGCAGUGAGGAAUAUUGGUCAAUGGGCGAGAGCCUGAACCAGCCAAGU
rnacentral:rRNA from 1 species